rnacentral:rRNA from 1 species
CAUCCCGACUUACCAACCCGAUGCAAACUGCGAAUACCGGAGAAUGUUAUCACGGGAGACACACGGCGGGUGCUAACGUCCGUCGUGAAGAGGGAAACAACCCAGACCGCCAGCUAAGGUCCCAAAGUCAUGGUUAAGUGGGAAACGAUGUGGGAAGGCCCAGACAGCCAGGAUGUUGGCUUAGAAGCAGCCAUCAUUUAAAGAAAGCGUAAUAGCUCACUGGUCGAGUCGGCCUGCGCGGAAGAUGUAACGGGGCUAAACCAUGCACCGAAGCUGCGGCAGCGACACUGUGUGUUGUUGGGUAGGGGAGCGUUCUGUAAGCCUGUGAAGGUGUGCUGUGAGGCAUGCUGGAGGUAUCAGAAGUGCGAAUGCUGACAUAAGUAACGAUAAAGCGGGUGAAAAGCCCGCUCGCCGGAAGACCAAGGGUUCCUGUCCAACGUUAAUCGGGGCAGGGUGAGUCGACCCCUAAGGCGAGGCCGAAAGGCGUAGUCGAUGGGAAACAGGUUAAUAUUCCUGUACUUGGUGUUACUGCGAAGGGGGGACGGAGAAGGCUAUGUUGGCCGGGCGACGGUUGUCCCGGUUUAAGCGUGUAGGCUGGUUUUCCAGGCAAAUCCGGAAAAUCAAGGCUGAGGCGUGAUGACGAGGCACUACGGUGCUGAAGCAACAAAUGCCCUGCUUCCAGGAAAAGCCUCUAAGCAUCAGGUAACAUCAAAUCGUACCCCAAACCGACACAGGUGGUCAGGUAGAGAAUACCAAGGCGCUUGAGAGAACUCGGGUGAAGGAACUAGGCAAAAUGGUGCCGUAACUUCGGGAGAAGGCACGCUGAUAUGUAGGUGAAGUCCCUCGCGGAUGGAGCUGAAAUCAGUCGAAGAUACCAGCUGGCUGCAACUGUUUAUUAAAAACACAGCACUGUGCAAACACGAAAGUGGACGUAUACGGUGUGACGCCUGCCCGGUGCCGGAAGGUUAAUUGAUGGGGUCAGCGCAAGCGAAGCUCUUGAUCGAAGCCCCGGUAAACGGCGGCCGUAACUAUAACGGUCCUAAGGUAGCGAAAUUCCUUGUCGGGUAAGUUCCGACCUGCACGAAUGGCGUAAUGAUGGCCAGGCUGUCUCCACCCGAGACUCAGUGAAAUUGAACUCGCUGUGAAGAUGCAGUGUACCCGCGGCAAGACGGAAAGACCCCGUGAACCUUUACUAUAGCUUGACACUGAACAUUGAGCCUUGAUGUGUAGGAUAGGUGGGAGGCUUUGAAGUGUGGACGCCAGUCUGCAUGGAGCCGACCUUGAAAUACCACCCUUUAAUGUUUGAUGUUCUAACGUGGACCCGUGAUCCGGGUUGCGGACAGUGUCUGGUGGGUAGUUUGACUGGGGCGGUCUCCUCCUAAAGAGUAACGGAGGAGCACGAAGGUUGGCUAAUCCUGGUCGGACAUCAGGAGGUUAGUGCAAUGGCAUAAGCCAGCUUGACUGCGAGCGUGACGGCGCGAGCAGGUGCGAAAGCAGGUCAUAGUGAUCCGGUGGUUCUGAAUGGAAGGGCCAUCGCUCAACGGAUAAAAGGUACUCCGGGGAUAACAGGCUGAUACCGCCCAAGAGUUCAUAUCGACGGCGGUGUUUGGCACCUCGAUGUCGGCUCAUCACAUCCUGGGGCUGAAGUAGGUCCCAAGGGUAUGGCUGUUCGCCAUUUAAAGUGGUACGCGAGCUGGGUUUAGAACGUCGUGAGACAGUUCGGUCCCUAUCUGCCGUGGGCGCUGGAGAACUGAGGGGGGCUGCUCCUAGUACGAGAGGACCGGAGUGGACGCAUCACUGGUGUUCGGGUUGUCAUGCCAAUGGCACUGCCCGGUAGCUAAAUGCGGAAGAGAUAAGUGCUGAAAGCAUCUAAGCACGAAACUUGCCCCGAGAUGAGUUCUCCCUGACCCUUUAAGGGUCCUGAAGGAACGUUGAAGACGACGACGUUGAUAGGCCGGGUGUGUAAGCGCAGCGAUGCGUUGAGCUAACCGGUACUAAUGAACCGUGAGGCUUAACCUUACAACGCCGAAGGUGUUU